rnacentral:tRNA from 1 species
CGGGCGGUGGGAUAGUGGCUAAUCCGCCUGGUUCGGGACCAGGAAACCGGGGGUUCAAAUCCCCCCCGCCCGA